CCCGUCUUGCCUUAUGAGGUGGUAGAUUCCAACUGACAUUUCAAUUUUCAAAGCCUCUGCUAUGCUGUUUGAGUCUGCUCUGGCAUGUAUCAUUGAAAGAAUUUUCCUGGUUAUUCCAACUCAUGUGUCCAUGCAGCUGCACCAGGUGACUGUUCUGCAGAACCACAUUCUUGAGUCCAGCCUCAUUUCUGUGACUAACAAAGUAGCAACUGGCCAUAUCUGAACCUUUGCUUUACUGACAAUGCAGAGUAAAACCUCUAGAAGGUCUUCAGGUUUUUGAUCAAUUGGAGCUAUUUUAAUGCUUGUGAAGCCGAAAAUUCAGGAGGAUUCCUUUUCCACUGAGCUUGAUAGCUUGGGUGUUUGGUGGCUGAUAAGAGGGCUCAGUGCCGCCAAUAUUGUAACAAGAACUUACAGGGGCACCUUUGCUACAAAGCACUGACUCUUCACUUGGGCCUGAAAAAGCCCAAUGGGUAACUGAAAGUGGUAUAAAGCUGGGCAUUUCUGCCUUCAUUUUAUAUCGGUCUUCUUUAUUAUCUUAAAUGUUGACUAAGCUUCCUGCUCAGCUCUCACAUAGGCAGGUUACUCAUCUAAGGAGUGUUCAUCUAAAGCUGGUAAUCUACCCCCUUCAAGGCUGAAGACACCAAGAGAACAGGGACUCAGGCAUUUGUAAGAUUUGAAGGGACAUUCAACUGCCAGCUUUUACAGUGUCCUGUUCCAAACCCCUGAAAACAGGGUACAGAAGCCGUCAGUCAUAUCCAUUCAUCUUCCAGGAACAGGGGAGCCUUAAACACCCCAUGAUGAGACUGCCACCCUAAGGAGGACAGAUCAUCACAUGGGAACUGAAUUUCCCUCUCCUAGGAUCACAAGUCUGAUAAGAGGACAUCUCCAAAGCAAACGGAGACUUACUGCUCAUUUAGCAGUAAGGACUUCUCCAGAGUCACGCAUAGAAACAGAACUGAGAUAAUGAUCAACAAGACCACAGUUUGACCAAGACUACUUAUUUAUGCAUACUAUUCUUUCCUACCCCCAUUUAUGCCUACUCCUCUUUUCUUCCUCUAUUUAAACCUAAAGCUCAUGUUAGUAUACCUGAAGUUAGGGCUGUGCCACUUACUUGCCUUCCU